AUCCGUGUGGUGUUUUUAGGUCCAAUGAAAAUUGACAUAUGUAUUAAAAAUUACACAUCAGCAGCUUAGUUAAAUUAAAAUCAAAGAGACAAAAAUGCCCAAAAAUUUUCAAAGCCCCGCCAUUAAAAUAACAACACGCAUUUUUCCCUUUUUGGAAAAUCAAAAUCUUCCCUCCAUCUCUGUUUUCUCUCGCACCGCUCUCUCCUCCAAACCUCCAUAGCCACUGCCUAGCAUCAUCGCCGGAGCUGCCGAACAUAACCAAUUCUGAAAAGAUCGGCCUUUGUCUGGUCUGUUAUAGGGUUGAGAUUUGGUUGUUUUUAUUUAGGGAAGAGACGGAUCUAAUGGGGACUUAGAGUUGGAGUUUGGAAUUGUGAGUUUGGGGUUUAUUUGCUAUCAUUGUUUUAAUUUGUAUUAUUAUCUUAUUAUCAAUGUCUAUAAACUUUACAUGGGAUUGGACUGCCUAGAUUAAUUUUGAUGGUUCCUUGUAGCUAAUUUAUGAUGUUAUUCAUGUUGUGAGUUUGGGGUUUAAUAGCUAUUAUUCGUUGUUUUAGUUUGUAUACUAUUUAUUAUCAAUGUCUAUAAACUUUACAUGGGAUUGGGCUGCCUAGAUUAAUAUUGAUGGUUCCCUGUAGCUAAUGUACGAUACUACUCAUGUUGGUUGCCAAGCCGAACUAGAUUAAUUUUGAUGGUUCCUUGUAGCUAAUUUAUGAUGCUAUUCAUGUUGUGAGUUUGGGGUUUAAUAGCUAUUAUUCCUUGUUUUAGUUUGUAUCCUAUUUUUUAUCAAUGUCUAUAAACUUUACAUGGGAUUGGGCUGCCUAGAUUAAUAUUGAUGGUUCCCUAUAGCUAAUGUACGAUACUACUCAUGUUGGUCGCCAAGCCGAACUAAGAUCAUAUAGUGCUAGCCAUGUACUUUGUUACUUGAAUAUAGGUUCUACUGUUAUGUUUAGUAUACAUUACAUUUUUGUUGAUAUAAUUUUUUUUUUCAUGGUGCAGAGAUGGAUGUGUAAUUUUGUUCUAUUGCACAGUGGAAGAACAUCUUGGAUAGUACUUUUUACUUGAAAAUUUUUUAGUUAGCAUAGCUGAAAAUUUGGAUAAGUGAUUGUAUAGCCAAACAUUAAUUAUAGCUGUCAAUUUGGAAAACUUUUGUAACUAAUGAAGUUACUCAAACAUGAUAGAUUUUGUGUAUGCUUGAGUAGCUUCUAGUUAAAGACUAAUUAUAUGCAAAUGAUGAAAGUUUUUA